UGGGGAAUAUUGCACAAUGGGCGCAAGCCUGAUGCAGCCAUGCCGCGUGUGUGAAGAAGGCCUUCGGGUUGUAAAGCACUUUCAGCGGGGAGGAAGGCGAUAAGGUUAAUAACCUUGUCGAUUGACGUUACCCGCAGAAGAAGCACCGGCUAACUCCGUGCCAGCAGCCGCGGUAAUACGGAGGGUGCAAGCGUUAAUCGGAAUUACUGGGCGUAAAGCGCACGCAGGCGGUCUGUCAAGUCGGAUGUGAAAUCCCCGGGCUCAACCUGGGAACUGCAAUCGAAACUGGCAGGCUAGAGUCUUGUAGAGGGGGGUAGAAUUCCAGGUGGAGCGGUGAAAUGCGUAGGGAUCUGGAGGAAUACCGGUGGCGGAGGCGGCCCCCUGGGCAAAGACUGACGCUCAGGUGCGAAAGCGUGGGGAGCAAACAGG
rnacentral:rRNA from 1 species